CCUACGGGUGGCAGCAGUAGGGAAUCUUUCACAAUGGGCGAAAGCCUGAUGGAGCAACGCCGCGUGCAGGAUGAAGGCCUUCGGGUUGUACACUGCUUUUAUAAGCGAGAAAUAUGAUGGUAACUUAUGAAUAAGGAUCGGCUAACUACGUGCCAGCAGCCGCGGUCAUACGUAGGAUCCGAGCAUUAUCCGGAUUUAUUGGGUGUAAAGGGUGCGUAGACGGAGAAGCAAGUUAGUUGUGAAAUCCCUCGGCUUAACUGAGGAACUGCAACUAAAACUACUUCCCUUGAGUACUGGAGAGGAAAGUGGAAUGCCUAGUGUAGCGGUGAAAUGCGUAGAUAUUAGGAGGAACACCAGUGGCGAAGGCGACUUUCUGGACAGUAACUGACGUUGAGGCACGAAAGUGUGGGGAGCAAACAGGAUUAGAUACCCGGGUAGUC
rnacentral:rRNA from 1 species